AUCGAACGCUGGCGGCAGGCCUAACACAUGCAAGUCGAACGAGUGGCAGACGGGUGAGUAAUGUCUGGGAACCUGCCUGUUGGAGGGGGAUAACUACUGGAAACGGUAGCUAAUACCGCAUACCAUCGGAUGUGCCCAGAGGGGAUUGGCUAGUAGGGGGGGUAAAGGUUCACCUGGGCAACGAUCCCUAGCUGGUCUGAGAGGAUGACCGGCCACACUGGAACUAGGACACGGUCCAGACUCCGACGGGAGGCAGCAGUGGGGAAUAUUGGACAAUGGGCGCAAGCCUGAUGAAGCCAUGCCGCGUGUAUGAAGAGGGCCUUCGGGUUGUAAAGUACUUUCAGCGGGGAGGCGUUACCCGAAGAAGAAGCACCGGCUAACUACGUGCCAGCAGCCGCGGUAAUUC
rnacentral:rRNA from 1 species